UUGGUGUCAAACUGUGUCAAGUUGUACAUUUUCUUAUUACUUGUUAUUUGAUCACUUGUACAAAUUUUUUUAAAUGACUUUUUCCAGAUCGUUCUUUCUGAUUUUGGGACUGGGGUGCAACAUCUGAAGCUUACAACCAUUAUGUUUCAGAACAUCUUUCCAGCCAUUAAUGUUAACACUAACCAUCAAGUUCCUGAUUUAAGAAGUCUUCAAGACGUGAGCGAUUUUGUCACCAAGUGUGUGUCACUCUCUUUCUCUCUCCCCCUUGAUUUUGUUGGCGGGAAGUCAAAAGUUGAAGUGAGCUGUGACUUAAGUGACUGACAAUUUGCUAAUCAGCCUGCUAUAGAUCUGAUACCAUGGGUUUAAGUAUAUACUUUUGUCUUUCAUGUCUGUUUUCUAUCAUGGUUUUCAUAGCAUAUGAUCAGCAGUAAAGGUCAAGUUAUAGUAGUUUUGUUGGUUAUCUGAUUCAAUAGGCUAAUCCACUCAACAAAGCUUUGUCCCAAUUACUUGGGACUCAGCCAUGCGAAUCCUGUUUUUUCCAUUCAGCUUGAUCAAGGGCCACAGUUUCAGUUAAAUCACUAGCUAUUAGCUAAUGUGUUAUCCAAUUCAAUAUAAUGUAUAAAGUGAUAACGGUAGAAUAUAUAUCAUCUGUAUCCAUAUUAAAUAUCAAACAGUUCAAGGAAACUUUCUAUGUGACUCGUAAUUGUUUCUUAGUCUUUUGUGUGUUGUGAUCAUUAGAGGUAUGAUUACAAGGAAAUCAGAAGUUAGGAUGGUCUAGCUACAAAUUGAUCAACCAAUUUUUAAAUUUUAUGUCAGUUUGGAUGUUGAUCAUUCUUGCUCUCCUCUUUUCCCCUGAAGGGCUGGUUAUGGAUCAGAAAGCGAAGCAGAUGAGGCAGCAACUGUAAGUCUAGCAAGUGAUCUUGGUAGGGUUAACCGAGCUUCUACAAAAAGUGCUGUCAAGCUUCAAGAGAUUGGUCCUGGGUUGACUCUUCACCUCAUCAAAAUUGAGGAAGGAUUGUGUUCUGGUGGAGUCAUAUUCAGUGAAUAUGGCAGAUUGCAUACUUAAUUCAAUUGGCAUGUAAACCCACCCUCUCAAAGAGUAAAUAUCGAGUGCAAUGGUGACAGCUUCCUACUAGUGUCACUGGCCAAUAAAAUACCGCAAACGGAAUUAGAAAAUCAUGGUGGAAAGAAAACGCACCAAGAGGAAGAGGAUGAGGAAGAAGUUGAGGAAGAAAUGGUGGAAGAUUAGCUCCCAGCUCUUUGUUUGUGGACACUUUGUUUAAUGGUUGUUGAGUCGAGCAGUUAGGUGGCUCAUUUUUAUUUUAUCUUAUUUUUGUUUUUUGGAAACAGUUCUACAGGGUGCCAAUCUUGAUGAGCUUCCAAUUUUGUCAUUGAAGAUCUAAAUAUAGCUUGAUAAUACCUUUUUUGUUUUCUUGUGCUCACGGAAAAUGAGUUGUAGAUUCAAUUCGAAGAGAAGUGAAAGUUUUAAGUUCGAUUAUGAAUAUCUUAAAUUCUAUA